AUCUACAGCCAUAUCCCCCUGCAUGCUUUCAAUCUCGUCUAAUCUUAGAAGUUGAGUAGAGUUGGGCCUGGUUACUACUUGGAAGAAGACUGCCUGGGAAUAUGGGUGCCAGAGGUU
rnacentral:rRNA from 1 species